rnacentral:sRNA from 1 species
AAGGGAACCUCGUGUGUCGCACCACAU